ACACGGAGGGCGCAAGCGUUGCUCGGAAUCACUGGGCGUAAAGCGGGUGUAGGCGGUCUAGCAAGUCAGAUGUGAAAGCCCAUGGCUCAACCGUGGAAGUGCAUCUGAAACUGCUAGACUUGAGUGCCGGAGAGGGAAGUGGAAUUCCUGGUGUAGGGGUGAAAUCCGUAGAUAUCAGGAGGAACACCGGUGGCGAAGGCGACUUCCUGGACGGCCACUGACGCUGAGACCCGAAAGCGUGGGGAGCAAACAGGAUUAGAUACCCUAGUAGUCC
rnacentral:rRNA from 1 species